UACGUAGGCAGCAAGCGUUGUUCGGAAUUACUGGGCGUAAAGGGCUCGUAGGUGGCCAACUAAGUCAGACGUGAAAUCCCUCGGCUUAACCGGGGAACUGCGUCUGAUACUGGAUGGCUUGAGUUCGGGAGAGGGAUGCGGAAUUCCAGGUGUAGCGGUGAAAUGCGUAGAUAUCUGGAGGAACACCGGUGGCGAAGGCGGGUCUCUGGGCCGUAACUGACGCUGAGGAGCGAAAGCAUGGGGAGCGAACAGG
rnacentral:rRNA from 1 species